AGUGUAGAGGUGACAGGUAGCCUAGUGGUUAGAGUGUAGAGGUGGCAGGUAGCCUAGUGGUUAGAGUGUAGAGGUGGCAGGUAGCCUAGUUGUUAGAGUGUAGAGGUGGCAGGUAGCCUAGUGGUUAGAGUGUAGAGGUGGCAGGUAGCCUAGUGGUUAGAGUGUAGAGGUGACAGGUAGCCUAAUGGUUAGAGUGUAGAGGUGACAGGUAGCCUAGUGGUUAGAGUGUAGAGGUGACAGGUAGCCUAGUGGUUAGAGUGUAGAGGUGACAGGUAGCCUAGUGGUUAGAGUGUAGAGGAGGCAGGUAGCCUAAUGGUUAGAGUGUAGAGGAGGCAGGUAGCCUAGUGGUUAGAGUGUAGAGGUGGCAGGUAGCCUAAUGGUUAGAGUGUAGAGGUGGCAGGUAGCCUAGUGGUUAGAGUGUAGAGGUGACAGGUAGCCUAGUGGUUAGAGUGUAGAGGUGACAGGUAGCCUAGUGGUUAGAGUGUAGAGGUGACAGGUAGCCUAGUGGUUAGAGUGUAGAGGUGGCAGGUAGCCUAGUGGUUAGAGUGUAGAGGUGACAGGUAGCCUAGUGGUUAGAGUGUAGAGGUGACAGGUAGCCUAAUGGUUAGAGUGUAGAGGAGGUAGGUAGCCUAGUGGUUAGAGUGUAGAGGAGGUAGGUAGUCUAGUGGUUAGAGUGUAGAGGAGGCAGGUAGCCUAGUGGUUAGAGUGUAGAGGUGACAGGUAGCCUAGUGGUUAGAGUGUAGAGGUGACAGGUAGCCUAGUGGUUAGAGUGUAGAGGUGACAGGUAGCCUAGUGGUUAGAGUGUAGAGGAGGUAGGUAGUCUAGUGGUUAGAGUGUAGAGGAGGCAGGUAGCCUAGUGGUUAGAGUGUAGAGGUGACAGGUAGCCUAGUGGUUAGAGUGUUGGGGCGACAAGUAGCCUAGUGGUUAGAGUGUAGAGGUGACAGGUAGUCUAGUGGUUAGAGUGUAGAGGUGACAGGUAGCCUAGUGGUUAGAGUGUAGAGGUGGCAGGUAGCCUAGUGGUUAGAGUGUAGAGGUGGCAGGUAGCCUAGUGGUUAGAGUGUAGAGGUGGCAGGUAGCCUAGUGGUUAGAGUGUAGAGGUGACAGGUAGCCUAGUGGUUAGAGUGUAGAGGUGGCAGGUAGCCUAGUGGUUAGAGUGUAGAGGUGGCAGGUAGCCUAGUGGUUAGAGUGUAGAGGUGGCAGGUAGCCUAGUGGUUAGAGUGUAGAGGUGGCAGGUAGCCUAGUGGUUAGAGUGUAGAGGUGGCAGGUAGCCUAGUGGUUAGAGUGUAGAGGUGACAGGUAGCCUAGUGGUUAGAGUGUAGAGAUGACAGGUAGCCUAAUGGUUAGAGUGUAGAGGUGACAGGUAGCCUAGUGGUUAGAGUGUAGAGGUGACAGGUAGCCUAGUGGUUAGAGUGUAGAGGUGACAGGUAGCCUAGUGGUUAGAGUGUAGAGGAGGUAGGUAGCCUAGUGGUUAGAGUGUAGAGGAGGCAGGUAGCCUAGUGGUUAGAGUGUAGAGGUGGCAGGUAGCCUAGUGGUUAGAGUGUAGAGGUGACAGGUAGCCUAGUGGUUAGAGUGUAGAGAUGACAGGUAGCCUAAUGGUUAGAGUGUAGAGGUGACAGGUAGCCUAGUGGUUAGAGUGUAGAGGUGACAGGUAGCCUAGUGGUUAGAGUGUAGAGGAGGCAGGUAGCCUAAUGGUUAGAGUGUAGAGGAGGCAGGUAGCCUAGUGGUUAGAGUGUAGAGGUGGCAGGUAGCCUAAUGGUUAGAGUGUAGAGGUGGCAGGUAGCCUAGUGGUUAGAGUGUAGAGGUGACAGGUAGCCUAGUGGUUAGAGUGUAGAGGUGACAGGUAGCCUAGUGGUUAGAGUGUAGAGGUGACAGGUAGCCUAGUGGUUAGAGUGUAGAGGUGGCAGGUAGCCUAGUGGUUAGAGUGUAGAGGUGACAGGUAGCCUAGUGGUUAGAGUGUAGAGGUGACAGGUAGCCUAAUGGUUAGAGUGUAGAGGAGGUAGGUAGCCUAGUGGUUAGAGUGUAGAGGAGGUAGGUAGUCUAGUGGUUAGAGUGUAGAGGAGGCAGGUAGCCUAGUGGUUAGAGUGUAGAGGUGACAGGUAGCCUAGUGGUUAGAGUGUAGAGGUGACAGGUAGCCUAGUGGUUAGAGUGUAGAGGUGACAGGUAGCCUAGUGGUUAGAGUGUAGAGGAGGUAGGUAGUCUAGUGGUUAGAGUGUAGAGGAGGCAGGUAGCCUAGUGGUUAGAGUGUAGAGGUGACAGGUAGCCUAGUGGUUAGAGUGUUGGGGCGACAAGUAGCCUAGUGGUUAGAGUGUAGAGGUGACAGGUAGUCUAGUGGUUAGAGUGUAGAGGUGACAGGUAGCCUAGUGGUUAGAGUGUAGAGGUGGCAGGUAGCCUAGUGGUUAGAGUGUAGAGGUGGCAGGUAGCCUAGUGGUUAGAGUGUAGAGGUGGCAGGUAGCCUAGUGGUUAGAGUGUAGAGGUGACAGGUAGCCUAGUGGUUAGAGUGUAGAGGUGGCAGGUAGCCUAGUGGUUAGAGUGUAGAGGUGGCAGGUAGCCUAGUGGUUAGAGUGUAGAGGUGGCAGGUAGCCUAGUGGUUAGAGUGUAGAGGUGGCAGGUAGCCUAGUGGUUAGAGUGUAGAGGUGACAGGUAGCCUAGUGGUUAGAGUGUAGAGAUGACAGGUAGCCUAAUGGUUAGAGUGUAGAGGUGACAGGUAGCCUAGUGGUUAGAGUGUAGAGGUGACAGGUAGCCUAGUGGUUAGAGUGUAGAGGUGACAGGUAGCCUAGUGGUUAGAGUGUAGAGGAGGUAGGUAGCCUAGUGGUUAGAGUGUAGAGGAGGCAGGUAGCCUAGUGGUUAGAGUGUAGAGGUGGCAGGUAGCCUAGUGGUUAGAGUGUAGAGGUGACAGGUAGCCUAGUGGUUAGAGUGUAGAGAUGACAGGUAGCCUAAUGGUUAGAGUGUAGAGGUGACAGGUAGCCUAGUGGUUAGAGUGUAGAGGUGACAGGUAGCCUAGUGGUUAGAGUGUAGAGGUGACAGGUAGCCUAGUGGUUAGAGUGUAGAGGUGACAGGUAGCCUAGUGGUUAGAGUGUAGAGGAGGCAGGUAGCCUAGUGGUUAGAGUGUAGAGGUGACAGGUAGCCUAGUGGUUAGAGUGUAGAGGUGGCAGGUAGCCUAGUGGUUAGAGUGUAGAGGUGGCAGGUAGCCUAGUGGUUAGAGUGUAGAGGUGACAGGUAGCCUAGUGGUUAGAGUGUAGAGGUGACAGGUAGCCUAGUGGUUAGAGUGUAGAGGUGACAGGUAGCCUAGUGGUUAGAGUGUAGAGGUGGCAGGUAGCCUAGUGGUUAGAGUGUAGAGGUGACAGGUAGCCUAAU